AAGGCCACAAUGUCAAAAAGAAAAGAGAAGGAAAAGGAAAGAACAAGAAGGCGAAAACAAGAACAGUCAAAAGACACAGGUAGACUCUGGGAGUCUGGGACAAAGAACUAGAUCUAGACGAAGCUCCACCUAGAUCCGUUUCAUCGCUCAGUGAUCGGGUUAGAGUGUGCUGAUACUGAUGGAAAAUGGAACUGGACAGAAUUAGCAGUUUACCGAAUGAUGUCACAGAUAGGAUUUUGUCACUUCUGCGGCCCAGGGAAGCAGCCAGGACAAGUGUUUUAUCGACCAAGUGGAGGUACAAAUCGGCCAUGCUUCAAGAUCUAGAGUUUGAUGAGGGUUUCUGGAGGGUAGGCCGAAUUCGGGAGGUCGAUGAUAGUGAUGGUCAAACAAGCUUUGUGAACAUGGUUGAUCAUGUACUCUUACUUCAUAUUGGCCCCAUACGCAAGUUUAAGCUUACUACACUACAUGGCUUAACCCCUAGAAAAGAUAUUGAUCGAUGGGUUACUCAUCUAUCAAGAAAGUCUAUCAAAGAGUUGAUACUCUUUGUUGGAUUAUGUGCAUACAAAAUCCCAUUAUGUGUGUUUUCUUGUCAAGAUCUCAUUCGUUUGGAGUUGCUUAGGUGUUUGCUCAAACCUCCGUCAACGUUCAAAGGAUUCAGGAGCUUGAAAAGCCUUAGACUUGCCGCUGUUGACAUGGACCAAGAAGUGUUUGAAAUUUUGAUUCGUUGUAGUCCUCUGCUUGAGAGAUUAACACUGCGAUUUUGUAAGGGUGUUACCAAUCUCAAGAUUAAUGCACAACCCUCCAAUAUAUGCAUGUUUUAGGUAAUUUCGAUGUUGUCAACCUUGAGAGUGCCUUAAAUAUUACUGAGGCUGAAUUUUAUGUAAGCAUCGAUGAUGACCCGAGAUGGAUUCCUGACAGCUCGGUUCCCAGCAGUUCAAAGAUUUUUUAUCACCUCCCUCAUAUUCAAAGGCUCGAAAUUAAGUGGUACUUUUUGAAGUAUUUGUCUUUGGGUGUGUUGCCAGAAAAGCUGCCUAAACCCUGCCAAUAUCUGAAAGUUCUUUCUAUGGACAUAUGCUUUGAUGAUCCGGAUGAAAUUCUAACUGCUCUAUGCAUUCUGAGAAGCUCCUCUGCUCUGCAGAAAUUAAAAAAAUUUAUGAAUGGCAAAAAGAAACUCACAAGGUCACCCGGUGUUGUCGAAGAACAGAAAUCUUCUUGUUUCAAUGUCAGCUACAAUUGCACACUCUAUCAACUGCGACUUGUGAACAUAACCGGGAUCUAUGGUGUUGAAGCUGAACUAGAUUUCAUCAAAUUUCUACUUUUAGGUUCACCUAUGCUGGAGAGAAUGACUGUCACGCCUUCUCGAUCUCUUAAGCCUGUUUCUGUGGAUGGAUUUCUAAAGCUAGUAAAAGAGCUACUCCAGUUUAAACGUGAAUCAAAGCAUGCAGAGAUAAUUCUCCUGGACCCAUAUUCAUCAAUGAAUUGAAGCAGCUAAGAGGUUCUCGAAUUCUGGUAGAUGAAUUUGGGUUUGGGAGUGGUACCUUUUUGUACAAGUCAUUAGCCUUGAUAUCAUGAUUUCCACUGUCCAUAUUAGGUUGAAUUUGCUGACUAAAUUAUGUAUCCAGUUACAUUUUCUGUUAGAAUAACGUGAAAAGAAGAAGAUUGCAAAU